UACGUAGGGUGCAAGCGUUGUCCGGAAUUAUUGGGCGUAAAGAGCACGUAGGCGGUCUGUCGCGUCUGCUGUGAAAACUGGAGGCUCAACCUCCAGCCUGCAGUGGGUACGGGCAGACUAGAGUGCGGUAGGGGAGAAUGGAACUCCUGGUGUAGCGGUGGAAUGCGCAGAUAUCAGGAAGAACACCGAUGGCGAGGGCAGUUCUCUGGGCCGUAACUGACGCUGAGGAGCGAAAGCGUGGGGAGCGAAC
rnacentral:rRNA from 1 species